AUUGAACGCUGGCGGCAGGCCUAACACAUGCAAGUCGAGCGGAUGAAGGGAGCUUGCUCCUGGAUUCAGCGGCGGACGGGUGAGUAAUGCCUAGGAAUCUGCCUGGUAGUGGGGGAUAACGUCCGGAAACGGGCGCUAAUACCGCAUACGUCCUGAGGGAGAAAGUGGGGGAUCUUCGGACCUCACGCUAUCAGAUGAGCCUAGGUCGGAUUAGCUAGUUGGUGGGGUAAAGGCCUACCAAGGCGACGAUCCGUAACUGGUCUGAGAGGAUGAUCAGUCACAAUGGAACUGAGACACGGACCAGACUCCUACGGGAGGCAGCAGUGGGGAAUAUUGGACAAUGGGCGAAAGCCUGAUCCAGCCAUGCCGCGUGUGUGAAGAAGGUCUUCGGAUUGUAAAGCACUUUAAGUUGGGAGGAAGGGCAGUAAGUUAAUACCUUGCUGUUUUGACGUUACCAACAGAAUAAGCACCGGCUAACUUCGUG
rnacentral:rRNA from 1 species